rnacentral:lncRNA from 13 species
AUGUGGCAGGGUCUACAGUCAAUCAUGGAUUACAAAAAGAAAACCAACCAGGUACUGGACUUCCUGACGGGCUGCCCCCAGGUGGUGAGAGUAGGUAACAACAUCUCCACCCCGCUGAUCCUCAACACUGGGGUUCCACAAGGGUGCGUUCUGAGCCCUCUCCAGUACUCCCUGCUCACCCACGACUGUGUGGCCAUGCACGCCUCCAACUCAAUCAUCAAGUUUGCGGACGACACUACAGUGGUAGGCUUGAUUUCCAACAACGACGAGACAGCCUACAGGGAGGAGGUGAGGGCCCUUGGAGUGUGGUGUCAGGAAAAUAACCUCACACUCAACGUCAACAAAACAAAGGAGAUGAUCGUGGACUUCAGGAAACAGCAGAGGGAGCACCCCCCUAUCCACAUUGACGGGACAGUAGUGGAGAUGGUAGUAAGUUUUAAGUUCUUCGGCGUACACAUCACAGACAAACUGAAUUGGUCCACCCACACAGACAGCGUGGUGAGGCUGAAGAAAUUUGGCUUGUCACCAAAAGCACUCACAAACUUUUACAGAUGCACAAUCGAGAGCAUCCAGUCGGGCUGUGCCUGGUACGGCAACUGCUCCGCCCACAACCGUAAGGCUCUCCAGAGGGUAGUGUGGUCUGCACAAUGCAUCACCGGGGGCAAACUACCUGCUCUCCAGGACAACUACACCACCCGAUGUCACAGGAAGGCCAUAAAGAUUAUCAAGGACAACAACCCCGCUAUCAUCCAGAAGGCGAGGUCCGUACAGGUGCAUCAAAGCAGGGACCGAGAGACUGAAAAACAGCUUCUAUCUCAAGGCCAUCAGACUGUUAAACAGCCACCACUAACAUUGAGUGGCUGCUGCCAACAUACUGACUCAACUCCAGCCACUUUAAUAAUGGAAAUUGAUGUAAAAAAUGUAUCACUAGCCACUUUAAACUAUGCCACUUUUAUGUUUUCAUACCCUACAUUACUCAUCUCAUAUGUAUAUACUGUACUCUAUACCAUCUACUGCAUCUUGCCUUUGCCGUUCUGUACCAUCAUUCAUUCAUAUAUCUUUAUGUACAUAUUCUUUAUCCCUUUACACUUGUGUGUAUAA